rnacentral:rRNA from 1 species
CAGUCGCCGCGGUAAUACGUAGGUGGCAAGCGUUGUCCGGAAUUAUUGGGCGUAAAGGGCUCGCAGGCGGUUUCUUAAGUCUGAUGUGAAAGCCCCCGGCUCAACCGGGGAGGGUCAUUGGAAACUGGGAAACUUGAGUGCGGAAGAGGAGAGUGGAAUUCCACGUGUAGCGGUGAAAUGCGUAGAGAUGUGGAGGAACACCAGUGGCGAAGGCGACUCUCUGGUCUGUAACUGACGCUGAGGAGCGAAAGCGUGGGGAGCGAACAGGAUUAGAUACCCGCGUAGUCCCUGUCUCUUAUAC